rnacentral:rRNA from 1 species
CGUCUAUAUACGUAUAGCAUAUCAAUAAGCGGAGGAAAAGAAACUAACUAGGAUUCCCUUAGUAACGGCGAGUGAAGCGGGAAGAGCUCAAAUUUGAAAUCUUCAAGGUUCUACCUUGACGAAUUGCUAGUUUAAAGAAGUGUUUUCUGUUGGAGUUUUGGUAAAAGUUCUUUGGAAUAGGACAUCAUAGAGGGUGAGAAUCCCGUAUUUGACCAUUUCUUCCAGCUGUGUGAUACACUUUCAAAGAGUCGGAUUGUUUGGGAAUGCAGUCCAAAAUGGGUGGUAAAUUUCAUCUGAAAGCUAAAUAUUGGCGAGAGACCGAUAGCGAACAAGUACCGUGAGGGAAAGAUGAAAAGAACUUUGAAAAGAGAGUUAAACAGUACGUGAAAUUGUCAAAAGGGAAGCGUUUGACACCAGUGUUGUUUUCUCGAAAAUCAAUUAAAAAUGACCGGAUUUUGUGUUGUAUUGACUUUAUCAGCUUUCUGCACUUUUUUCUUGUCUUUUUUAAUGCACUUUUCGUUUAACAAGUCAACAUCAAUUUCUUUUGUUGUAAAAGAGUCAUUGGAAGGUGGCUUUCAUUUCGGUGAAAGUGUUUAGUAGCCUUUGACUUCUGCAAUCGGAGAGAUUGAGGUCUGCAGCGUAGAUCCUUCGGGGUUAGAUACAUUUGUGCUAAGUUAUAGUUUUUCAUAGACAACAUGCUGACUAUGAUUAAUCAUGUAGCUUACUCGCUUAUGCUAUUUUACCUACGCUUAGGAUGUUGAUAUGCAUGACUGAUAU